GAACUAUUAAUGAGAACAAACAGUAGGAACACAGUAUCAGCAAACAUCAUGGCUUAAAAUGGAGAGUAAAAAUCUAAAAAGAAAUAAACAAAUUAGUAAAAAGGAUUUCCUGUUGACAUGUUAUUGGUCCUAUCUUGUCUGCAGCACCUCCAGGAUGCUUCUUAUAUGUUUCUGGUUAUUUUUGCACCAAUUUUAGUUUUUGUCAGUAGGAAGUUCAAGUUCAACUCUGUGUGUUUGUUUGUUUUUUUCAAACUGAUGCCUGACCUUGAACACCAAACAUCUGUCAAUAAAGCAAUGAUAUAAAAUGCUUAUAUUAGUACUGAAAAACUGCAUAUCCACUUUACAAAUAUAAAUAAUGAUAUAAAUCCACAGCUGAACUGGAGGAGCAGCUGAUCUAGUUCACUCAUGUGUUUCUGGACUAAGAGUUGGAGCAAAUACCUUAUGAUUCAGUGAUGUUUGUUUUUGUUAAAUAUUUUGUAGAUCCAAGAGUGAGUUUGACUCAUGAUGAUGAUGUUCCGAAUUAAACAAAGUUGGUCACAAAUUCUUCAAAGCUGUUUAUUAAGAAUAUAUUCACUUGGACUCAUGAGACAGGCUUGUGAUCCAAGGGAGCCAUCAACUGGACAAUUACUGACAUGACAACAAAAAAGCUAAGUACAGAGGGGGGAACAGAGGUGAAAAUACUUGCUUUAAAGGAUUGUAAUGUUUCCUUUUAAAAUAAGUCUCUAAGGUCAGACAAAGGGACAGAAACUCAUAGCUUUCUACCAGCCCAAUGACAAAACUAUAAGUUGUUUUUUAACAUCUACUUUUUCAUCUAUUUGGCAGUCACAGUGAAAAGUAUAAACAUUGGCACGCUUUGUCUUGUGAUUCUGCUGUUCGUAAAAAAUGACCAUGCGCAAAGUACCAGACUUUAAGGCUUUGACUUGAUGCCAAUGGCCUGAGGAGGACAGUAUUACCCUUGGACAUGUGUAGUCUGCCGUCUACUCAAUAGAAGAAGAAGAAGCGCGGAAAUGGCACAACUGUCUUCAGUUUCUGGGAGAGUUUAACAAUGAGAGACUGAUGAUGCAGAAGAAAUCUCCGUGGUUAAAAACAUUAAAAACAGUCGUCCAGGAUGAUGAGAUCCGCCACUGGCUCAGACUGCUGUAUAUCAGCCGGAGACCCGAGAUGAAGUCACGCAGCAGUCCCACAUCAACAUGAAGUGUAAGGAGGAGGAAGAUCUGGCUGGCCAGCAGGUCUGGAAGCAGGAGAGGAACUUCAAUCUGGACCAGGAGGACACAGAUCCCCCACAGAUCAAAGAGGAACAGGAGGAACUCUGCAUCAGUCAAGAGGGAGAACAGCUUGUAGUGAAACACGAGGAUGAAGGCAUCGUCGUCUGGAGCGGGGAAGAGCGGCUCAGACAGCUGCAUAACAUCUGGAAACCUGAGAAAGAUUUACAGACCAGCGAAGCAAUAGUGGAGAGAC